rnacentral:rRNA from 1 species
UCGAACGCUCCGGUUUAUCGCAAGAUUGGCCGGGGAGUGGCGAACGGCUGAGUAACACGUAAGUAACCUGUCCCUAAGUGGGGGAUAACUUGUCGAAAGGCAGGCUAAUACCGCAUGUGCUGGUAAACGUCAGUUUGUCNGCAAAGCUUUUGCGCUUGGGGAGGGGCUUGCGUCUGAUUAGCUAGUUGGUAAGGUAAUGGCCUACCAAGGCGAUGAUCAGUAGCUGGUCUGAGAGGACAACCAGCCAGACGGGGACUGAGAUACGGCCCUGACUCCUACGGGAGGCAGCAGCAAGGAAUUUUGCGCAAUGGGCGAAAGCCUGACGCAGCGACGCCGCGUGGGGGAUGACGGCCUUCGGGUUGUAAACCCCUUUUCUAGAGGAAGAAAUCUGACGGUACUCUAGGAAUAAGUCUUGGCUAACUACGUGCCAGCAG